AGUAAGAGUAAGGAGAUCGAACUCCGUGAUAUAAAAGUAGUCCCGAUUCUGACGCCUAAUUGGGAGGGAAUCCGCUCAAGGGAAUAGUUUCUUACGGUUGGACGCCAUUUGCAAUUAGUAACGUAACCUAACUUUAUCUGUCAGUUUUGUUUCUUUACAAAUCAUGGCAUGCUGGAUACGUGGAUGCGAGACCAAAGGAGGGAAACAUGUUUCCAGAAAAAGAAGUCUUUUUACACCUAGGACAGUUUUCAUUGGAGAAAAAGAAAUUGAUUGUCUCAGUGGAAAAGUGGACAGCAUACAUCAGAUUCAAAGUCUUCUCAAAAAGAUAUCUUAUGUUCAUCCAUGCAAAGAAGUUGGCAAUAAAACCUGGUACUAACCCAGUAAACACAUAGUAACAUUCAUCUUUCUGCUGCGAAUAUGUCACAAGAGAUCGCACAGUGCGCGGUGUGCAGCGUGACAGAUGCAUUUACAUAUACUAACGUGUACAUGUGGUAGUUUUGCAAAUGGCGUCCAACCGUAAGAAACUAUUUCUU